rnacentral:rRNA from 1 species
GCCAGACUCCUACGGGAGGCAGCAGUGGGGAAUAUUGCACAAUGGGGGGAACCCUGAUGCAGCGACGCCGCGUGGGUGAAGGAGUAUUUCGGUAUGUAAAGCCCUAUCAGCAGGGAAGAAAAUGACGGUACCUGACUAAGAAGCCCCGGCUAACUACGUGCCAGCAGCCGCGGUAAUACGUAGGGGGCAAGCGUUAUCCGGAUUUACUGGGUGUAAAGGGAGCGUAGGCGGUUUAGCAAGUCAGAAGUGAAAUGCCGGGGCUCAACUCCGGGACUGCUUUUGAAACUGUUGAGCUAGAUUGCAGGAGAGGUAAGUGGAAUUCCUAGUGUAGCGGUGAAAUGCGUAGAUAUUAGGAGGAACACCAGUGGCGAAGGCGGCUUACUGGACUGUAAAUGACGCUGAGGCUCGAAAGCGUGGGGAGCAAACAGGAUUA